rnacentral:rRNA from 1 species
AUUGAACGCUGGCGGCAUGCUUUACACAUGCGAGUCGAACGGCAGCGCGGGCUUCGGCCUGGCGGCGAGUGGCGAACGGGUGAGUAAUGCAUCGGAACGUGCCCAGUAGUGGGGGGUAGCCCGGCGAAAGCCGGAUUAAUACCGCAUACGACCUGAGGGUGAAAGCGGGGGACCGGAAGGCCUCGCGCUAUUGGAGCGGCCGAUGUCGGAUUAGCUAGUUGGUGGGGUAAAGGCUUACCAAGGCGACGAUCCGUAGCUGGUCUGAGAGGACGACCAGCCACACUGGGACUGAGACACGGCCCAGACUCCUACGGGAGGCAGCAGUGGGGAAUUUUGGACAAUGGGGGCAACCCUGAUCCAGCCAUGCCGCGUGCGGGAAGAAGGCCUUCGGGUUGUAAACCGCUUUUGUUCGGGAAGAAAUCCUCUGGGCUAAUACCCCGGGGGGAUGACGGUACCGGAAGAAUAAGCACCGGCUAACUACGUG